CCCUUAGAUGUUCUGGGCUGCACACGUGCUACACUGGCAGGUUCAGCGAGCUUCAUGCCCUGAUCUGAAAGGAAUGGGAAAUCUUUUCAAAACCUGCCGUGCUUGGGAUAGAUGUUUGCAAUUAUUCAUCUUCAACGAGGAUUGCCUUGUAAGCGCACGUCAUCAGCGUGCAUUGAAUACGACCCUGUAUUCUGUACACACCGCCUGUCGCUCCUACCGAUUGAAGUUUUCGGUGAGUUGACAGGAGGAUUUUUUUGAAACUGGUUCGCCAGUGGAUUUUAGAUCCAAAUGCCAACGAAUCGAUGGCUUUAGAGGAAGGAGAAGUCGUAACA
rnacentral:rRNA from 1 species